rnacentral:rRNA from 1 species
ACGUAGGGUGCGAGCGUUGUCCGGAAUUAUUGGGCGUAAAGAGCGCGCAGGCGGUCGUGCAAGUCGCGUGUGAAAGCCCCCGGCUCAACUGGGGAGGGUCACGCGAUACUGCUCGACUCGAAGGCAGGAGAGGGAAGAGGAAUUCCCGGUGUAGUGGUGAAAUGCGUAGAUAUCGGGAGGAACACCAGUGGCGAAGGCGACUUCCUGGCCUGUUCUUGACGCUGAGGCGCGAAAGCUAGGGUAGCAAACGGGA